rnacentral:rRNA from 1 species
UCAAGGAAUAGAGUCCUCUCUAAUUAACAACAAAUUAACAAGCCUCCGGCGUAAAGCGUGUUCAAACAAAAUACUAAUAAUAAAGUUAAUACUUAACUAAGUUGUAACACACUCCAGUUAAUACUAAAAUAAACUAUUAAAAUAACUUUAAUAAAGCUGAUACACGAAAACUAAGGUACAAACUGGGAUUAGAUACCCCACUAUGCUUAGUCAUAAACCAAAGUAGUUAAACAACAAAACUACUCGCCAGAGAACUACUAGCUACUGCUUAAAACUCAAAGGACUUGGCGGUGCCCUAAACCCACCUAGAGGAGCCUGUUCUAUAAUCGAUAAACCCCGAUAUACCCAACCCCAUCUUGCCAAUACAGCCUAUAUACCGCCAUCGUCAGCCCACCUUAAAAAAGAUACAAAGUAAGCAAAAUUAUUUUUUCAUAAAAACGUUAGGUCAAGGUGUAGCAUAUGAUAGGGAAAGAAAUGGGCUACAUUAUCUAGCUUAGAUUAAACGAAUCACACUAUGAAAUUAAAUGUGCCUGAAGGAGGAUUUAGUAGUAAAUUAAGAAUAGAGUGCUUAAUUGAAUUAGGCAAUAGGGCGCGCACACACCGCCCGUCACCCUGCUCAACUCAACCUACAAAAAUACUUAAUAAUUUAUUUUAGUAAAGAGGAGAAAAGUCGUAACACGGUAAGUGUACUGGAAAGUGCACUUGGAAUAUCAAAAUG